rnacentral:rRNA from 1 species
UGUCUUACGUAUGUACUUGUUAAGCCUUUAAGAGAAAAGUUUACAACUUAAGGAAUUAUAACAAAGAAGUAACACAUAAUAAGUUUACCUUAUUUAGUGUGUAUCAAUCGAGUUUCUGACCUAUCAGCUUUUGAUGUUAGGGUAUUGGCCUAACAUGGCUAUGACGGGUAACGGGGAAUUAGAGUUCGAUUCCGGAGAGGGAGCCUGAGAAAUAGCUACCACAUCUAAGGAAGGCAGCAGGCGCGUAAAUUACCCAAUUCUAAAGAAGAGAGGUAGUGACAAGAAAUAACAAUACAAGGCCAUUUCAUGGUUUUGUAAUUGGAAUGAUGGGAAUUUAAAACCUUCCCAAAAUUCAAUUGGAGGGCAAGUCUGGUGCCAGCAGCCGCGGUAAUUCCAGCUCCAAUAGCGUAUAUUAAAAUUGUUGCAGUUAAAACGCUCGUAGUUGAAUUUCAAAGAAUCAAUAUUUUAAGUAAUGCUUUUGGUUUAAGAUGCUUAGGCAAUACAACGUAUCUGCUCUUUGCAUUCCUUAUCCAAAAUGUGUUCUUAUUAUAAAAAGGAUUCUUUUUAAAAUCUCCUUUACUUUCUUGUACUGGAGAUUUUGUUACUUUGAGUAAAUUAGAGUGUUCAAAGCAAACAGUUAAAGCAUUUUACUGCGUUUGAAUACUACAGCAUGGAAUAACAAAAUUGAACAAGUCAAAACUCUGUUCUUUUUUCUUAUUUUGGCU